GAUGAACGCUGGCGGCGUGCCUAAUACAUGCAAGUCGAGCGAACAGAUAAGGAGCUUGCUCCUUUGACGUUAGCGGCGGACGGGUGAGUAACACGUGGGUAACCUACCUAUAAGACUGGAAUAACUCCGGGAAACCGGGGCUAAUGCCGGAUAAUAUUUAGAACCGCAUGGUUCUAAAGUGAAAGAUGGUUUUACUAUCACUUAUAGAUGGACCCGCGCCGUAUUAGCUAGUUGGUGGGGUAAUGGCUUACCAAGGCAACGAUACGUAGCCGACCUGAGAGGGUGAUCGGCCACACUGGAACUGAGACACGGUCCAGACUCCUACGGGAGGCAGCAGUAGGGAAUCUUCCGCAAUGGGCGAAAGCCUGACGGAGCAACGCCGCGUGAGUGAUGAAGGUCUUCGGAUCGUAAAACUCUGUUAUUAGGGAAGAACAAAUGUGUAAGUAACUGUGCACGUCUUGACGGUACCUAAUCAGAAAGCCACGGCUAACUACGUGCCAGCAGCCGCGGUAAUACGUAGGUGGC
rnacentral:rRNA from 1 species